rnacentral:misc_RNA from 1 species
AACCAUUCUCACCUGCGGCUAGACCUGCGGAAGGAUCAUUAUAGAGUGCUAAACUCCAUACCUUUGUGAACUUAUAGUUGUUGCUUCGGCGGGCUAGGCUCCCUAGACCGCCGGGGACCCAAACCAUUGCCUUCUAGCGGAAUCUUCUGAGUGAAAACAAAUACAUUAAAACUUUUAGCAACGGAUCU